AUGAACGCUGGCGGCGUGCCUAAUACAUGCCAGUCGAACGCUUCACUUCGGUGAAGAGUGGCGAACGGGUGAGUAAUACAUAAGUAACCUGGCAUCUACAGGGGGAUAACUGAUGGAAACGUCAGCUAAGACCGCAUAGGUGUAGAGAUCGCAUGAACUCUAUAUGAAAAGUGCUACGGGACUGGUAGAUGAUGGACUUAUGGCGCAUUAGCUUGUUGGUAGGGUAACGGCCUACCAAGGCGACGAUGCGUAGCCGACCUGAGAGGGUGACCGGCCACACUGGGACUGAGACACGGCCCAGACUCCUACGGGAGGCAGCAGUAGGGAAUUUUCGGCAAUGGGGGAAACCCUGACCGAGCAACGCCGCGUGAAGGAAGAAGUAAUUCGUUAUGUAAACUUCUGUCAUAGAGGAAGAACGGUGGAUAUAGGGAAUGAUAUCCAAGUGACGGUACUCUAUAAGAAAGCCACGGCUAACUACGUG
rnacentral:rRNA from 1 species